UAAUAUCCUUGCCUUUCUGUGAUUAUUGUUUUUAUCCUUUGAGAAUUUUUACUAAACAAGAUCUUGCUGAUGCGAGACAGUGGGCCAAUUUUAUCCAAAUUUAUAGCUCAUAUUUUAUAUUUUACUAACUGAUCAUUUUCCUCUUUUGUUAGUGGGUAAUUUUAUCCUAAUCUCACGAGAAGAUAUAUCACAUGCUUAUAGGAGAAUUAGAAUAAUGGUAAUCAUAUCCUUUCCCCUGACGAGGAUGUCUGCCCCCAUAUUAUUAUGAUAUAUGGUAAAUCUAUUAAGCCUGGUCACUUUCACGGCACAAUAAGAACACCAAAAGGCUGGUGCUCAGAUAUGUCGUCAAGCUGGUCUUGUCAAAAGACUGGAGAAUUUUGACAAGCACAACGAGGUAGUGAUCCUAAUUAGUUUUAGUUUUUGGAGGAUGUGUGUAACGAACAUGGCACCAUUUAUGCCAUUUCGAGUGAUUUUGGUGAUCGUA